CGGGGCGUGGUGGAAUUGGUAGACACGCCAGACUUAGGAUCUGGUGCUUUCCGCGUGUGGGUUCGAGUCCCACCGCCCCGA
rnacentral:tRNA from 1 species